UGGGUCGACUGGACGGUCGCGUGGCGGGAGACCGCACCGAGGAACGUCCGGGCUCCACAGGGCAGGGCGGUGGGUAACACCCACCCGGAGCAAUCCGCGAGACAGUGCCACAGAGAGUAGACCGCCCCGCAAGGGGUAAGGGUGAAAGGGUGGUGUAAGAGACCACCGGGGGUCAUGGUGACAUGACCCGCCAGGUAAACCUCGCCCGGAGCAAGGUCAGACAGAGGAUGUUGACGCGGCUCGCCGAGUCCUCGGGUAGACCGCUGGAGCGGCACGGCAACGUGUCGCCGAGAGAGAUGGCCGUCGAAGGGGCGAAGAACCCCGGAACAGAACCCGGCGUACAGGUCGGCCCAUUCG
rnacentral:RNase_P_RNA from 1 species